rnacentral:rRNA from 1 species
GUAGGGUGCGAGCGUUAAUCGGAAUUACUGGGCGUAAAGCGUGCGCAGGCGGUUUGGUAAGACAGGCGUGAAAUCCCCGGGCUUAACCUGGGAACUGCGUUUGUGACUGCCAAGCUAGAGUACGGCAGAGGGGGGUGGAAUUCCACGUGUAGCAGUGAAAUGCGUAGAGAUGUGGAGGAACACCAAUGGCGAAGGCAGCCCCCUGGGUCGACACUGACGCUCAUGCACGAAAGCGUGGGUAGCAAACAGGAUUAGAUACCCUGGUAGUCCACGCCCUAAACGAUGUCAACUAGGUGUUGGGAGGGUAAAACCUUUUAGUACCGUAGCUAACGCGAGAAGUUGACCGCCUGGGGAGUACGGCCGCAAGGUUA